rnacentral:rRNA from 1 species
CAUGCAGUCGAGCGGUAGCACAGAGAGCUUGCUCUCGGGUGACGAGCGGCGGACGGGUGAGUAAUGUCUGGGAAACUGCCUGAUGGAGGGGGAUAACUACUGGAAACGGUAGCUAAUACCGCAUAACGUCGCAAGACCAAAGUGGGGGACCUUCGGGCCUCAUGCCAUCAGAUGUGCCCAGAUGGGAUUAGCUAGUAGGUGGGGUAACGGCUCACCUAGGCGACGAUCCCUAGCUGGUCUGAGAGGAUGACCAGCCACACUGGAACUGAGACACGGUCCAGACUCCUACGGGAGGCAGCAGUGGGGAAUAUUGCACAAUGGGCGCAAGCCUGAUGCAGCCAUGCCGCGUGUGUGAAGAAGGCCUUCGGGUUGUAAAGCACUUUCAGCGGGGAGGAAGGCGUUAAGGUUAAUAACCUUGGCGAUUGACGUUACCCGCAGAAGAAGCACCGGCUAACUCCGUGCCAGCAGCCGCGGUAAUACGGAGGGUGCAAGCGUUAAUCGGAAUUACUGGGCGUAAAGCGCACGCAGGCGGUCUGUCAAGUCGGAUGUGAAAUCCCCGGGCUCAACCUGGGAACUGCAUUCGAAACUGGCAGGCUAGAGUCUUGUAGAGGGGGGUAGAAUUCCAGGUGUAGCGGUGAAAUGCGUAGAGAUCUGGAGGAAUACCGGUGGCGAAGGCGGCCCCCUGGACAAAGACUGACGCUCAGGUGCGAAAGCGUGGGGAGCAAACAGGAUUAGAUACCCUGGUAGUCCACGCCGUAAACGAUGUCGAUUUGGAGGUUGUGCCCUUGAGGCGUGGCUUCCGGAGCUAACGCGUUAAAUCGACCGCCUGGGGAGUACGGCCGCAAGGUUAAAACUCAAAUGAAUUGACGGGGGCCCGCACAAGCGGUGGAGCAUGUGGUUUAAUUCGAUGCAACGCGAAGAACCUUACCUGGUCUUGACAUCCACAGAACUUUCCAGAGAUGGAUUGGUGCCUUCGGGAACUGUGAGACAGGUGCUGCAUGGCUGUCGUCAGCUCGUGUUGUGAAAUGUUGGGUUAAGUCCCGCAACGAGCGCAACCCUUAUCCUUUGUUGCCAGCGGUUAGGCCGGGAACUCAAAGGAGACUGCCAGUGAUA